rnacentral:lncRNA from 1 species
CAGAUGUUCUUUUUGGAGAAGAAGAACUACAAAGUUAGAGCAAAUACUCUUAUUUAUAAGAAGAAUGAACUCAGUGGGUGAGAAGGAGAAUACAAAUGCAACAGCCUCAAAUUAGCAGUGGAUGCCUACUGGGCUCCUGCAACCCCUUUCCACGGAUUCCACCAGAUGGCUAGCUGGUAAUGACCCAGACACCUCUCAGUAAUCUCCCAGAAAGCCUGACAAAUAUGUUGCAAACUUAGCCACAUUUUAGAGUUUGCAACGCCCUCUUAAAAGCAUGAUCUUUUUUAAUAGUGAUCACUUCCAUUUUUAGGCCCUUUAUACGUUACUUUUGUCAUUUUAUAUUGCUUCUUUUUUUCUGAUCCUUGCAAAAACCCUGUCAAGAAAGCAAGAAAAUAUUUUUCCCCCUCAGGACCUGGACAAUAUCAGAUAGAAUGUGUCACAUAAAUAUGUAUUCCACAAUGAAAGUUCUAUAGGUUUUAAAAAUGAAAGCUCAAAAUGGCCAGGUGAUAUUCCUCAAUUCAUAUGAGCAUAGA